rnacentral:lncRNA from 1 species
UUCAAGUCUGUCUUGACUCCUAACUCAUUGCAUUCUAGCAAAAUACCUUAAAAGUAGACAUUUAAUCAAAAAAUAUUAGACUUGACUAAAUAAGUAAUUAAAGCUAAAUCUAGUAAUGCAUUUAAUUUCGAAAUUUUCGGCAAUGGCACCAGAAACUUGUUGCUCCCAAAUGCAAAAGUAAGUAUAUAUGCCAACAAGUAAUAUAGUAACUUAGAUUUAGUUCAACCUAAAUAUACUUGUCGUUAACUACCUACGAAUUCAACUAAAGUGCAUUAUCUAUUCAAGUUCACCAAAUUGAGUUUUUUACACUAAUUUAUUAUAGCAAAAAUUAAAUACGCAACAAUACUACAACACUGAAAAAUUAUUAUUUAUCAAUUUAAUUCGAUAUAGAUGAGUAUUCUAGGGUUGUGGUGCAUUCACCAAUCCUAUUGAGUUUUAUUUAUUCCUCUUGAAUUCGAAUUACAUGUGGUUGCUAAUUAACCGAACUAAAUUUACUUGUAGUAUUCCCCCGCAUUACACUAGCCUACUUAGGAUAGUUUAAUGUCUAUAUUCCCAUAGAAUUAAUCUAUCAAGAAUGCAUUACGAUCACAAUAUAUAAUUAAGCGAGGUGACUAGGUAUAUUCCUAUCUUAACUACAAAUCUGAAUCCUAACCCUAAGGAUAAGAUUGGACUUUCUUUAAUUCAUCUCUAGUCUAAGAAUGACUUUCUCAAGCAUAACCUUGAUAGUUGAUAAAACUUAACUGUGACCAGACAAUCAAGUAAUUAUGCAUAGAAUUAACGAAAAAACAGUAUGAUAGAAAUUCGCAUUAAAGGAGAAAUUACGGUUAAACAUUAGUGCUCAUAGCUAACCACAAACUUAGAAACAGAGAACUUAGCCACGAAUAGUCAUAAUACUAAUUACACAACUAUUUAGAAUAAUAAAGUUACGAGGAGAGAAUAUGAAAGGAAGAGAACUCGAUGAUCCUUACUUCAAAGUUGCUCCACGCUUGUGUUUUGCGCCUCCAAUUGUCGAACUCCCUCGAAAUUUAGGUUUGGGAACCUUUUAUACGUGUUAGGGAUGUGUAGGAUAAAAAACAACCUUCUCAUUUUAGUGCUAGGAUAAUUUCCCAGACUUGGGGGCCCGGGCACCACAUCUCGGUACCGAGAGAUCAGUGGCUUGGACGUUGGCGUUGUGACUCAAAAUUUCUUCACUGCCUUCAGCACCCCAGGCACCGAGAAUCGGUGGCCUAAAUAUUGGGUUCAGCCUCUGAUUUCCUUUUCUAUUUCCAGUGGUCAGUCACCGAGAAUCGAUGGCCUGAGCACUGAAAUUGGUCUUCUUUCAUUUCCCGUCAAUUUUAGCUCAAACUUGUGUGUGUUUACUUCAUUCCACUCCCAAUCGAUUCCUAUACGUAUAAAUAUUAGACUUAGGAUCAACUCAUCACAACAAACAUUAUAAUCACCAAUAAUAGGCUAAGAUAUGAGGCAACUAGCACACAAAAAUUCGUAUUUCUGGCCGAACACCAUAUAUAUUCAGAUGAAUUAAUGAUUAGGAACGUAGAUAAUGCAAAGAUGGCAAUUUAU